rnacentral:misc_RNA from 1 species
GAUGAAGAACGUAGCGAAAUGCGAUACGUAAUGUGAAUUGCAGAAUUCAGUGAAUCAUCGAAUCUUUGAACGCAUAUUGCGCUCUCUGGUAUUCCGGAGAGCAUGCUUGUUUGAGUAUCAGUAAACACCUCAACUUCCAUAUCUUUUUUGAAAUGGGAGUUGGACUUGAGUGAUCCCAACGCUUUUCCUCACCGAAAAGUGGCGGGUUACUUGAAAUGCAGGUGCAGCUGGACUUUUCUCUGAGCUAUAAGCAUAUCUAUUUAGUCUGCCUAAAAAACAGAUUAUUACCUUUGCUGCAGCUAACAUAAAGGAGAUUAGUUCUUGUGCUGACUGAUGCAGGAUUCACAAAGACAGGCUUCGGCCGACUUUGUAAACUCGAUCUCAAAUCAAGUAAGACUGCCCGCUGAACUUAAGCAUAUCAAUAAGCGGAGGA